UACGAAGGGGGCUAGCGUUGCUCGGAAUUACUGGGCGUAAAGGGCGCGUAGGCGGCUUUGCAAGUCAGGCGUGAAAUUCCUGGGCUUAACCUGGGGGCUGCGCUUGAGACUGUGGAGCUAGAGGUCAGAAGAGGGUCGUGGAAUUCCCAGUGUAGAGGUGAAAUUCGUAGAUAUUGGGAAGAACACCGGUGGCGAAGGCGGCGACCUGGUCUGAUACUGACGCUGAGGCGCGACAGCGUGGGGAGCAAACAGG
rnacentral:rRNA from 1 species